GUAAGCGGACUUUGCCUCCGGCGAACUGUGCAUCAUUGUCAGCAUGACACCUGACAGCAGUGUCAACAACUUCAGACCGCUUUAAAGCUAUGAAAGUGCAGAUUCUGCACAUGGCAGCUCAGUGAGAGACGCUUAAUGUGACUCAACCGCACAUAUUUGAAGCCAGCGUUAAACAAAACCAUCAUAUACUGCGAUAAAGUGCAUGAAUGGAGGAUGUCACGCGACUCAUCUCAGGUCUUUAAUGUGCUUGCUGGAGUAUUUGGGUGAUGCUGGUCUUGUUUUUGACACGCGCUGUCAAUCCUUGAAGUGCUAGUGAUUUGACAGCUGAGCAUGGAUGAAGAAUAAGGGGUGAGUUUGGAUUAUACAGAGUUCUGGGAAAUUUACCACAAUGAUGGACAUCUGCUCAUGGACAGGUGUUUGUGCAGUUCAGCUGCUGGUGGGGCAUCCAUGGCAGAGGAACCUUUAGUCACCACGGGGAAUAACUUCCCAUUGGAUUACAGACAUGAGCAAGAUGUUACAUGUUCCAGACGGGACUCUCAUGGGCGCUUUGUGAACCCUUGGACGACAUGGCAGUUCCCCUCCCACAGCACCAUCGCUCGCAACAGAACAACAGUAAUGUUCCCAGUGCCAA